CUCCUAAUUUGAUCAUAUCAAAUUAAUAAUCCAAUAUUUGCACAUAAAUCCCCUCAUAAUUUACUAAGCGUUAAUAAGUCCUAUCUUUUAACAUUUACACUUUAAUACCACUAAUUUGUAACAAUUAUAAAUUAAUCAAUUAUCAACAUAUUGAUCAUUAGAUCCUCCGGCGAUUCAAAAUCGCUAUCUAACUAUCCGAUCAGUCGCAACUUCUUAUUGUGUGACACCAUAGAUUCUAUUCUAUCUGGUAGUGAGAUAUAUUUUGAUCACUAUCAACAAUAUCACUGAAACUCCUUUCAGUGGAUCGGAACAAAUCCAACUCUCAGCCCAAUGAGAAUUAUCAUCAUCCAAAUAAUUCUCAUGAGUCUCACAAUCUACCAGUGACGCUUAGCAACAUGUAGUGGCAUUUCAGUAUAAUGGAAUAUUGAACCUCUUGGUGCAGUUACCGUGUGAUACAGUCUUUCUAUCAUGAGUCCCGACUAGACGGAGGUCAUGGAAUAAUUCGUCAAACACCAUCAUCUGUUAUAUGUUAAAUUUAUUCGAUUCAAAUUUCUAGUAUCGAAAAUCUUUUUCUGCUAUUAACUCAUAAAUCACAUAGGACUAACGCUUCUAUCUAC
rnacentral:lncRNA from 1 species